CCGGCCUUCAGACCCUUCUCCCGGAGGCGGGGGCCACAGGGUGUCGGGAGUGUUCCCAGAUGCCCCACGCGCCUUCGCUGUGCUCGCCUUCAGCUCGGAUUUCCUGAUUCUUCCAGCUAAUGAUGAUGCCUUCCUUCCUUUCAACACUUCAUACCCCUGGUUUGAUUUGAGAAAUACAGUAAUGUUUUCAUGAAGGAAAAAAGCAUAUAAGCCUAUGAGCUUCGCUUGGACUUGAGCCCUGGGAAAAUCACCAAGUUGCACACUGUGGUACAGAAAAGCUGAAUGCAUCAGAUGUUAAUGACCAGACAGCCAAAAAGAGAGACACAGCAAGAGAGAGAACACAAGCAGGGGGAGUGGGAGAGGGAGAAGCAG